rnacentral:tRNA from 1 species
GCCUGGCUAGCUCAGUUGGUAGAGCAUGAGGUUCUUAAUCUCAGGGUAGAGGGUUUGAGCCCCAAGUUAUGCG